GAUGAACGCUGGCGGCGUGCCUAAUACAUGCAAGUCGAACGGGGAGUAGCAAUACUCUUAGUGGCGAACGGGUGAGUAACGCGUUGGUACCUGCCCCGAAGCGGGGGAUAACGGACCGAAAGGUCCGCUAAUACCCCAUGUGCUCGGUAACGAGUAAAGGUGAAAACCACUUUGGGAGGGGCAUGCGUCCCAUCAGCUAGUUGGUAAGGUAACGGCUUACCAAGGCGAUGACGGGUAGGGGACCUGAGAGGGUGGCCCCCCACAAUGGAACUGAAACACGGUCCAUACACCUACGGGUGGCAGCAGUAGGGAAUAUUGGUAAUGGGCGCAAGCCUGAACCAGCAACGCCGCGUGUGCGAUGACGGCCUUCGGGUUGGAAAGCACUUUUGACUGGGACGAGGAAGGACGGUACCGGUCGAAUCAGCCUCGGCUAACUACGUG
rnacentral:rRNA from 1 species